rnacentral:rRNA from 1 species
UACAGAGGUCUCAAGCGUUGUUCGGAUUCAUUGGGCGUAAAGGGUGCGUAGGUGGCGCGCUAAGUCAGGUGUGAAAUUUCGGAGCUUAACUCCGAAACUGCAUUCGAUACUGCGGUGCUUGAGGACUGGAGAGGAGACUGGAAUUCGAUGGUGUAGCAGUGAAAUGCGUAGAGAUCAUGAGGAAGACCAGUGGCGAAGGCGGGUCUCUGGACAGUUCCUGACACUGAGGCACGAAGGCCAGGGGAGCAAACGGG